UACCAGCACCCCGAGUGGUCGGGACGUUUAUUGGGCCUUAAAGCAUCCGGUAGCCGGUUCUACGAGUCUUCCGUUAAAUCCAACUGCUUAACAGGUGGGCUGCGGAAGAUACUAUAGAGCUAGGAGGCGGGAGAGGCAAGCGGUACUCGAUGGGUAGGGGUAAAAUCCGUUGAUCCAUUGAAGACCACCAGUGGCGAAGGCGGCUUGCCAGAACGCGCUCGACGGUGAGGGAUGAAAGCUGGGGGAGCAAACCGG
rnacentral:rRNA from 1 species